GAUGAACGCUGGCGGCGUGCUUAACACAUGCAAGUCGAACGGUGAAGCAGGAGCUUGCUCCUGUGGAUCAGUGGCGAACGGGUGAGUAACACGUGAGCAAUCUGCCCUGGACUCUGGGAUAAGCGUUGGAAACGACGUCUAAUACCGGAUACGAGGCGUGGGGGCAUCCCCAACGCCUGGAAAGAACUUCGGUCCAGGAUGAGCUCGCGGCCUAUCAGCUAGUUGGUGAGGUAACGGCUCACCAAGGCGACGACGGGUAGCCGGCCUGAGAGGGUGACCGGCCACACUGGGACUGAGACACGGCCCAGACUCCUACGGGAGGCAGCAGUGGGGAAUAUUGCACAAUGGGCGCAAGCCUGAUGCAGCAACGCCGCGUGAGGGACGACGGCCUUCGGGUUGUAAACCUCUUUUAGCAGGGAAGAAGCGAAAGUGACGGUACCUGCAGAAAAAGCACCGGCUAACUACGUGCCAGCCGCCGCGGUAAAAC
rnacentral:rRNA from 1 species